CCCUUAGAUGUUCUGGGCCGCACGCGCGCUACACUGAUGCAUUCAACAAGCCUAGCCUUGACCGAGAGGUCCGGGUAAUCUUUGAAACUGCAUCGUGAUGGGGCUAGAUUAUUGCAAUUAUUAAUCUUCAACGAGGAAUGCCUAGUAAGCGUGAUUCAUCAAAUCGCGUUGAUUACGUCCCUGCCCUUUGUACACACCGCCCGUCGCUCCUACCGAUUGAAUGUGUUGGUGAGGAGCUCGGAUUGGCAGCAGUUGGUGGUUCGCCACCGGCUAUUGCGGAGAAGUCCUCCAAACCGCCCCAUUUAGAGGAAGGAGAAGUCGUAACA
rnacentral:rRNA from 1 species